rnacentral:lncRNA from 1 species
ACUCUUCAGAGAAUACGAGAAGAGAAAAGAGAAGAACGAAGGCGGAGAGAACUGGAGAAGAAACGUUUGCGGGAGGAAGAGAAAAGGAAGCGCAGAGAAGAAGAAAGACGUAAAAGAAAAGAAGUGGAGAAACAAAAGAAGAUUUCUGAAAAAGAAAUAAGGAUCAAGCUUCUCAAGAAGCCAGAAAAAGGAGAUGAACUGGCCAGUGAAAAGCACAAAGAAAAAGGUGAAGAAGCUGACACUGAAGAAAACAAAUGGGAUAAAUCACCUGGAUCUGGAAGUAUAAUAUCCAAAUCUUUGGAGAGCUCACUAAAAGAACUUAGGGAAAAGAUCGUCCAGCCAUGCAGUUGUACCAGCCAGGAGCUCGCAUCCGAACACAUAUGGGGCCUACAAGUAAAACCUAUGACUGCAGCGGGAAAUCCUUUGAAGAUGCUCUUGAUAAAAAGUAUGAGGCAGAUAAUUCAGCUGGAGCUAGUUCUGAAAAGACUGAAGAAGCAGAAUAAAACAAUCUGGGGGAAAAGGCAUGUGAAAAGGAAUGAAUUUAAGAUUCAGCGUCAUCACAAAAAAUCCAUUGGGCUGUUUCAGAACUCCGCAGGCAAUUGUAUCAACAAAAUAAUAAUAGAUCUGCCUCUUACUUUCUGUAAAAUAAAGGGAAGAGCGACUGAAGAUACAUAAAAUAUCUUACCACAAAAGGGUGUUGUUGCUUUUUUACAAAAAGCAGCUCAAGUGCUCUUUGCCUAAUUUAAAAGCAGUUCAAAAAUUUUAUUAGAUUUACCUUGAAAUAGAAGACCCUCUAACAAUUUUAAAGGAGUAUUUAUAUAAGACUUUACAGAAGCUAUGUCAUCUUUUUGAGUCUAAAGAAAUGAAAUGUAAAUUUGCAUCAGUUUGAAAUCUGAGGCACUUUACAUGUAUUUGGUGCAUGACAUGAGGGUCCAGAGGACCCCCUCCUGCAAAUGGCAGGGGCUGCUGCAGGGUGUUGCAGUCAGACUUGGUGGGACCAGCCCUGAGACAAAGCUCUGGAACCAGUGGUGUUUGUAGGAUGAGGCCCACAGUUUGCACAGUUGUGAGGAAUGUCCAGUGGUAUCUGUACCUCAUGGUGUUUACAUUGGUUUUCAAUUAACCAUAGUGUCAGAUAAGUGUUAGUAAAGCUACAAGUAUGUUGUUGGAGAGUUUGUCAUUUUCUGAGCCACUUUUGCCUUUUAUGUUUUAAUAGAUUCCUUGUGCUUAAAACAGAAGACAGCUAAUGCAAACAUCAGCACGUUAACAAUAAAUCUGGUUUUAAUUAAUUAGCUGUUUUUUAUUGUUCUGACACUGACUUUUGGACAAAAAAGAAGUGGUUGUACAGUGAUGACUUUUUAUAUGCCAAUGUUUCAUAUAAGUUGCAGUAACAGGAUUUGGAAGAUGUAAGAUACACAAACAUUCUGCAGUUUUAUUUGUUAAAAAAUUAAACACAUAUGAAUGUCAANGUGCUCAUUCUGCACCUGCACCAGAGAUCACCUGUGUGUGUGUGUGUGUGUGUCUGUCUUCUGUUGGUUUCAGUGAUUGACAUGUGUUUAUGAAAGGGCACAAUAUCUUCAUAGCUGAAAAUUUCCCAGUUGUCUGAAACUGAGGGCUGCUUAGUCAUUGAAGUUAAAUAGCAAGAUAUUAAUUUAUUUUUACAUCCUCUCUGAACAUUUUAUUAUUAAGCAUAACAUCUAAUUGUCCUAGACUGAAAAUUAUUUAUUGUAUUUUACCAGAUACUAAGCAUUAAAUAGAAUAAAAGCAAAAAA